GAUGAAGAACGUAGCGAAAUGCGAUAAGUAAUGUGAAUUGCAGAAUUCAGUGAAUCAUCGAAUCUUUGAACGCACAUUGCGCCCGCCAGUAUUCUGGCGGGCAUGCCUGUUCGAGCGUCAUUUCAACCAUCAAGCCCCAGGCUUGUGUUGGGGGCCUGCAGCUGCUGCAGCCCCCUAAAAGCAGUGGCGGACUCGCUGUCAUACCGAGCGCAGUAGUUACAUCUCGCUCUGGGCAUGGCGGCGGGCACCUGGCGUAAAACACUCUUUCUAAGGUUGACCUCGGAUCAGGUAGGAAUACCCGCUGAACUUAAGCAUAUCAAUAAGCGGAGGA
rnacentral:misc_RNA from 1 species